GUGAAUCAUCGAAUUUUUGAACGCAAAUUGCACUUUCUGGGAUUCCUGAAAGUAUGCCUGUUUGAGGGUCAGUUAAAUAAAAAUCUUUGUUUUUGCUGCUUUUCGUGGUGACGCGUCGGAAUUGAGUUGUCUUACCUUUGGUUAAGUGACUUAAAAUUUUGCAUGAUUUUUGAACGGAUUUAAAUUUCUUACGUACGUUUGAGAUAUCGAAUAAUUUCUUAUUUUUGGUCAUCCU
rnacentral:misc_RNA from 1 species